rnacentral:piRNA from 1 species
UCUGUGGCGCCACUGACCUCUCCUU